rnacentral:rRNA from 1 species
AACAAACGCUGGCGGCGUGCCUAAUACAUGCAAGUCGAACGGGGAAAGCUUUCGGGUGAGUACUAGUGGCGCACGGGUGAGUAGCGCGUGGAUAAUCUGCCCUCGAAUGGGGAAUAACUAGUCGAAAGAUUAGCUAAUACCGCAUAAGACCACGACUACUGAGGUAGUUGGGGUCAAAGGAGCAAUUCGUUUGAGGAUGAGUCCGCGUAAGAUUAGCUAGUUGGUGAGGUAAUGGCUCACCAAGGCGAUGAUCUUUAACUGGUCUGAGAGGAUGAUCAGGCAAACUGGAACUGAGACACGGUCCAGACUCCUACGGGAGGCAGCAGUAGGGAAUAUUGGACAAUGGGGGCAACCCUGAUCCAGCGACGCCGCGUGAGCGAUGAAGGCCUUCGGGUCGUAAAGCUCUGUUGUAAGGGAAAAAGUUCUGAUUGUACCUUACGAGAAAGGAUCGGCUAACUUCGUGCCAGCCGCCGCCGUAA